GUCGGGAAUUUUGGGCAAUGGGCGAAAGCCUGACCCAGCAACGCCGCGUGAAGGAUGAAAUCCCUCGGGAUGUAAACUUCGCAAGAAUGGGAAGAAUUAGUAGGGGUCAAUACCCCCUAUGAUGACGGUACCAUUUGUAAGCUCCGGCUAACUCCGUGCCAGCAGCCGCGGUAAUACGGGGGGAGCAAGCGUUGUUCGGAUUUACUGGGCGUAAAGGGCGCGUAGGCGGUCAGCACAAGUCAGUUGUGAAAUCUCCGGGCUUAACUCGGAAAGGUCAACUGAUACUGUGCGACUAGAGUGCGGAAGGGGCAACUGGAAUUCUCGGUGUAGCGGUGAAAUGCGUAGAUAUCGAGAGGAACACCUGCGGCGAAGGCGGGUUGCUGGGCCGACACUGACGCUGAUGCGCGAAAGCCAGGGGAGCGAACGGGAUUAGAUACCCCUGUAGUCC
rnacentral:rRNA from 1 species